rnacentral:lncRNA from 10 species
AACCGGCAAUCCGAGAAGAGUAAUGUCUUGCUCUCCGCCCUGACAACUUUUAUGUAUUAUAAUUUGACCGCGCUGGGCCACGCUGCGCAGUCGCAGCUCGGAACCGCUGCGUUAACCCAGCCCCGGAAAUAACGUACCGAUCUUCGGAGUCCAAGUCGGAAGUUGACUAGAGAGUCACCUGCUUUCGUCCGCUCUAGGACACCAGACACACCAGGCCGCCAUGUUGUGUAAGGAUCCCCAGCCAGUGAGCCUAAAAUGGGUAGAAGGAAAAGAUAUUUCUUACCCUACGCACCCAGGUCCAAGUCAUCAUUAUUUUGUCUGAAAUUUAUCUUCCUAACUGAUUUCUCUGCUUCCCCAUUGUGCCUUAAGAGUUAGUUUUCCACAGAGCAGCUCGAGAUAUCUUUUCAGAUCAUUAUAUCCCUUUGCUUAAAAACCUCUAACAGCUUCCUAUUAGGCUUAGAAUAAAGUACAAACUCCUUAAUGUGAACUUGAGUGUUUUACGUAUCUUAUCUCACCUUUAUGAGCUUCAUGUCAGAACCCAUCUCUCACCACUCUUCCUUCCCCGCUCCCUGAUUUAAACAGUCUGGCACUUUACUUAUUCAUUGAACCCACUGGGUUUGCUCUUGCCUCCAAGUCUGUACCCAGCUUUCUCUCUACCUGUAAUCCUCUUCCUCUAGGUCAUCACACAGAUCGUUUCUUCACUCUAUUUAGGUCUUUCAGAAGUAACACUAAGGGAGGCUUUUCCAGACAAUAUUAUGCAAAUAUAAAUGGACAUGUGACAAAUACUUUAUUCGACUUAUUAGUUACUGAGAGUGUAUUUGAGUAGCCAGGUAUUUAUAGGCAAUUUAACAAUGUAAUGUUAGUAUAAGGUGGCAAGGUUAGAUAUAAACCUGUUAAUGUCUCACAGGGUAAUAAACUAUAACUUUUGGUGUUAUCUGUUCCACUGGAAAGGAAGUAGGGAUUUGCAUUCUUACUGGACAAAAAUCUACAAGUUAAUGUAUAGAUUCAGUAUAGGACUUUUAAAUCAAUAGUGAACGAUGAAAUGAACAAAGUACAAUCCCCUAGUCCUUGGUUUGACACUGAAAGGACAUGCCACUCACCUUUUUGCCUUGUUUCCAAAGUUUGGAAUAAUUUUCCUUUCAAAAUGAAAUUAUUUCUCAUUCAGUUGUCCUAUUGCAGGCAGCCUUUACUGCUUCCCCCAGUUAAUGUACCUGUCAAGCUUACUCAUGAUUUCCUAACUGCCAAAUUCAAUGGAUAUUUUUAAUUUUUUUUUUGCUAUGACUCAUACUGUUCCCUUCGGGCUUGUCAGCAGAUAAAUGACCUUCUGGGGACUGUGCAAAAUAUGGAAUGCUUAAUGAAUUUGUGUGUUAUUCUUGUGCAGGGGACACAACAGUCUUCUCUGUAGAUUACAGUUUUAGUGUAUGUGCUGUUGAAGUGAGCACUUCUGAGUAAUUUUGAUUGUUUUACUUUUUAUGUAAAAUUUCACAUUGUUUAAAACACCAGAUGGGGGCCAGGCAUGGUGGCUCAUGCCUGCAAUCCCAGCACUUUGGGAGGCUGAGGCGAGUGGAUUGCUUGGGCUCAGGAGUUUGAGACCAGCCUUGCCAUGUGGCAAAACCUUGUCUCUAUAAAAAAUAGAAAUAUCAGCCAGGCAUGGUGGUGUAUGCCUGUAGUCCCAGCUACUUGGGAGGCUGAGGUGGGAGGCACUUGAGCCUGGGAGGUGGAGGUUGAAGUGAGCUGAGAUCACGCCACUGCACUCCAGCCUGGGUGACAGAGCAAGACCAUCUCAGAAAACAAACAAACAAAAAAUACCACAUGGCCAAAUGAAAGAUGUCUGUGGUCUGAAUUUGGGCCAAAAGCUGUAAUCUUACAGUCUUUGAUUAUUUUUUAAUACAUGCUGAAUUCCAAGAGGAGCUGACAAAUCUCUUGAGAUUUCACUUGGGUUCCAUGGAUUCCCAGCACAAAAUGCAAAUGCAAAUGAGAUAUGAUUGGGAUUCUCUGCACACUAUCUCCACUUUCAUAAGUGCCUCUGAAGUUUAGUUUGAAUUUUAUAGUAUCUCCUACCUUGCUGUACCUUAAAGGACUAACAGCAGCUACCUGACCCAGGAUUAGCCAGUCAUAUUUUUUCCAGAAUUUGUAAUUGGAACAAUUGAGAUGGUAGUCUUCUGCUGGUAGUUUGAAGAGAGGAUAUGUAAACUUGGUAGCUGUGUACUUAGAAGCAGAGAAAGCCUGUUUUCAGAGAGAAGAAUGAAGCAGGUAAGUCAUCUGGAAGGACAAGCAGAAGCACAAUUUUGGGAACAGUUGCUUUCAGAGUCCUGAUGGCAUUCCAGCCCCUUGUCCUAGUGCCAGUUCAGGCCCAAGUGUUUGGCCUUUGGGACCUAUGAUACAGAUAUCCUAUUUCCUUUUAAUUAAUUGCCUCUUAAAAUUACUAUUAUUAAGCUAGCUUGCAAGGGUUUCUGUUACGUGGAAUCAAGGAACCUCAGUAGAGAGGAAAAUGAAGCACUUUGUGGUGGUGCUGCACAGGGUAUCAUUUUGCAGGGUAUAUACUGUGUGUUUUCUACGUUGACUGGAGUCUGGGGUCAGGUGUAAGAAGUGUUACAUAAACAUUGGGUUCAAAUGAGUCAGAAUAAAGUCAACUAAAAAAAUAAAAAAGACAUACAUGGACUUCAGAACAAAUGUUUAUUACUGCUUAAUGGGGCCAAAGGG